UACGUAGGGUGCAAGCGUUGUCCGGAAUUACUGGGCGUAAAGCGUGCGCAGGCGGUUUGUAAGCCAGGUGUGAAAUCCCCGGGCUCAACCUGGGAAUCGGCAUUUGGGACUGCAAGGCUGGAGUGCGGCAGAGGAGACUGGAAUUCCUGGUGUAGCAGUGAAAUGCGUAGAUAUCAGGAGGAAUACCGAUGGCGAAGGCAGGUCUCUGGGCUGACACUGACGCUCAUGCACGAAAGGCGUGGGGAGCCAAACGAAGAUUAGAGUACCCUGA
rnacentral:rRNA from 1 species